GCCCACAUAGCUCAGUUGGUAGGGCAUGAUACUCUUAAUCUCAUGGUUGUGGCUUCAAGCCCCAUGUUGGGUG